rnacentral:lncRNA from 1 species
AAAUGCACCCGGAGUGGCUCCCGUAAUCGAAACACAAUCAAUUUCUAGAAUAAGAGUAAAAAAAUAAAAGAGGGGAGCCCUUCGAAAAGGCCAGCCAAAGGUUUCCAAGGUCAGAAGACCGCGUGGGAACAUUCGAACGGCUCAAGCCACUCUUCGAAGGAAAACACACAAUAAGUAAGAACGCUAAAGCGAUACAUUGCGAAAGAAAAAAAAACUCUAAGUGUCGAAAAGGGGGGGCAACGCCCGAUCCCCCACGGCUAGGGCGAGUUGGGAACGACGAGGCAAAAAGAAGGAGGGCCCACCGAAAUGGCCAGCCGAGGGUUCCCAAGGUCAGAAGACCGCGCGGAAGCGCUCAGACAGCCCAGGCCGCCCCCCCCAAAGAGGAACAUGCAACAAGUAAGACCACGAAAGCGAUAUACUGCGGGAAAAAGGAGAAAGCAAGUAUCCAAAAAGAAAAAAAUAUUUAAG